rnacentral:rRNA from 1 species
GACGUAGGGCGCGAGCGUUGUCCGGAUUUAUUGGGCGUAAAGAGCUCGUAGGCGGCUCGUUGCGUCGGCUGUGAAAACCCGCAGCUCAACUGUGGGCUUGCAGCCGAUACGGGCGGGCUUGGAUUCGGUAGGGGAGACUGGAAUUCCUGGUGUAGCGGUGAAAUGCGCAGAUAUCAGGAGGAACACCGGUGGCGAAGGCGGGUCGCUGGGCCGAUAUCGACGCUGAGGAGCGAAAGCGUGGGGAGCGAACAGG